UGCGUGCGCACAGUUCACACCACUAGACCCAAACCCUAAACCAAAUCAGGGGAGCUCUCGUUGCCGGAUCGCUGGCCUAUCGUCCGGAUGUCCGCCGCGUCAGUUCCCCACAGCUACGGUGCCGCCAGCCACCACCGUUCCAUUGCCUUGGAUUCGGCUGUGCGCGUGGGCUGGGAACCAUUCUCUGUUGUCUGAUACGUCGUUGGAGCGGGAGGUUUGGUCGGUCGAGGCCAGGUAUGAGCAGCUCCUGAGCUGGAUGGAUGGAUGGAUGCAGGUCAUGUGUCGUGAACUAACACCACGACACCUCUUUUGGAACGGAGGGAGUAUAUUUUGGAACGGAGGGAGUAUGUAUGUACGUAUGGAUAUCAUGGUCAUGUUGCUUGGGGUUCAACCUCUUUUUUGGCUAAAAAUGAGGGGCGAUGCCCAUAAUUAUGAAUGUGGCUGUGGCGAGGUGCGACUAAAUAGUGCCUAAAAAUUGGUGUCUGCGCUGGAGUUGGUCUUAGAGCCCACCCUUACCUCUGUUGCAGCCUGUCCAAUUCAUCGCCAAUGUUGUUGGAUGUUCUGUGCCUUGGACGGUCGUUCUGAUGAGUGAUAACCCGGGAAGUUCUCUUACAUUGUGAUGGGUGGAUUAUGCAGCAAGAGAUGUGAGUGUUGGGUUUGAAGAUGAAAUGCAAAACUGAGCCCUCUCUUGCUAUGUUACAUAUACUCAGUUCAGUUGCAUUUUGUUCUGGAUCAGGGAUGGAUCCUCCUCUCUCUCUCUCUCUCUAUCCCCCUCUCCCUACGAAGAAGAAGAAGAAGAACAAACCAGUGAAGCUCUCAUCGCCGACUCGCUGACCGAUCGUCUGGGUGGCUGCCACAUCAGUUCCGUGUUGCUAUGGUGCUACCAGCCUGCCAUUCCAUUGCCUUGGAUUUGGUUGUGGCAUGGGCUGGGAACCGUAGAGUUCUGUUCUGAUGUGUCUGUCUGUGACGAGGUUUGGUCGGCUGACGCCAGGUAUGAGCAGCUCCCGAGACUGUCUAAGUUACUCACCACUAUGGCCAGUCUGAUGGAUGGAUGGAUGCUACUGUGUGAUGAAGAGAUGGAGUUCUUACCAGGGGUGAUGAUGAUGACCAUGGCUGAAAUAAGCAUGUCUUGAGCAAUUAAGGCAGCUGUGGCCUGUGGGUACUAAAUUAGAGCGCACCCUUACCUCUCUUGCAGCAAUUCAAUUCAUAGCUAAUGUUGGAUGUUCUGUGCCUUGGACGGUCAUUCUGAUGAAUGAUAACCAGGGCAGUCCUCUUACAUCGUGAUGGGUAGAUUAUGCAGCAAGCUAUGUGAGUGUUGGGAUUUAAGAUGAAAGGCAAAACUGAGCCCUCUUUUGCUACGCUACAAAUAUUUGAUUUUACCUUCUUUAAUAUGCAUUGUUUUUUUU
rnacentral:lncRNA from 1 species